rnacentral:rRNA from 1 species
UACGAAGGGUGCAAGCGUUACUCGGAAUUACUGGGCGUAAAGCGUGCGUAGGUGGUUUGUUAAGUCUGUUGUGAAAGCCCCGGGCUCAACCUGGGAAUGGCAAUGGAUACUGGCAGGCUAGAGUGCGGUAGAGGGUAGUGGAAUUCCCGGUGUAGCGGUGAAAUGCGUAGAGAUCGGGAGGAACACCAGAGGCGAAAGCGGCGACCUGGACAGAUACUGACACUCAACUGCGAAAGCGUGGGGAGCAACAGG